UACGUAGGGGGCAAGCGUUGUCCGGAAUCAUUGGGCGUAAAGCGCGUGUAGGCGGCUUGGUAAGUCUGCUCUGAAAGCCCGGGGCUCAACCCCGGGAGGCGGGUGGAUACUGUCAAGCUCGAGUCCGGAAGAGGAGUGUGGAAUUCCUGGUGUAGCGGUGAAAUGCGCAGAUAUCAGGAGGAACACCAGUGGCGAAAGCGGCUUCCUGGUCCAGCACCGACGUUCAGGCACGAAAGCGUGGGGAGCAAACAGG
rnacentral:rRNA from 1 species